rnacentral:rRNA from 1 species
UCUUCCGCAAUGGACGAAAGUCUGACGGAGCCACGCCGCGUGAGUGAUGACGGUUUUCGGAUCGUAAAACCCUGUUGAUAGGGAAGAACAAGUACUGUUCGAAUAGGGCGGUACCUUGCCGGUACCCAACCAGAAAGCCACGGCUCACUACGUGCCAGCAGCCGCGGUAAUACGUAGGUGGCAAGCGUUGUCCGGAAUUAUUGGGCGUAAAGCGCGCGCAGGCGGUUUCUUAAGUCUGAUGUGAAAGCCCCCGGCUCAACCGGGGAGGGUCAUUGGAAACUGGGGAACUUGAGUGCAGAAGAGGAGAGUGGAAUUCCACGUGUAGCGGUGAAAUGCGUAGAGAUGUGGAGGAACACCAGUGGCGAAGGCGACUCUCUGGUCUGUAACUGACGCUGAGGCGCGAAAGCGUGGGGAGCGAACAG